UGAUUAUCUCAUUUUCCUUUGUAUAAUUAGCUUGUUUGAAUGAGGAUUCAAACAAGGUCCACAUGUGACAUUUGUUUGGCUUGUUUCUAAAGUUACAUUCAAUCUACAGGUUUCCUCUUUUUUCUAAUUCACUGCAAAUUAUUUGCUGAUGAAACCAGGUCAUUUGUCCUUUAAUCUCUCUCAUCCUGGUUUUGGCUGAUUGCAUUCCUUCUAUGUCAUUAGACCUGUUCUUCUCCCUUUAUUUCCUGUAAACUAAAAAUUAGAUUGGUUGAAUGUUUUAGUCAGGUUCCCUUAUUUUUUCUCAUUUUACCAAGAUGCAUUUAUAAAUAAUGUUUUAAUCAGCCUUUUCAUUGCUGUGAACAAAAGACCUGACAAGUUAUAGGCGAAAAAUUUUAUUUUGACUCAUGAUUUCCAAGUUCCACUCCAUGGCCACUAAUUCCACAGCUCUGUACCUGGGGUGGGUCAGUACAUCAAGGUGAAAAAACACAGCAGAGGAAAUCAUCUCAGGACAUGGCAACCAGUAAGCAGAGAAACAGCUCUGCUCACCAGGGACAAAAUACAAACCCAAAGGCAAGACCCCCAGACCCACCUCCUCCAGCCACACCCUUCCUAUAACUAGGUACCAUUCUAUCAAACCAUAUCAGUGAAUUAAUUCACCAACGAGGUUACAGCUCUCAUGAUCUAAUCAUUUUACCCCAAAACAUUCUUUUUUUUUAAUGUUUUAGUUUUAGGUGGACACAAUAUCUUAUUUUUUAAUUUUUAUGUGGUGCUGAGGGUCGAACCCAGAGCCUCAUGCAUGCUAGGCAAGUUCACUACCACUGAGCCACAAUCCCAGCCCCCAAAACAUUCUUUCAUUGUCUUACGUAUCAACUUUGGGGGGAGGGGACACCUAAUAUCUAUACCAUAACAAAUAUUAUUGUUCACAUCCUAGGAAGAAGCACAUAGAAAGCCUGUCUUUAUUAUGUGAUGUAGGAGAAAGUUUGUGAUUUUAUAAGUAUAUGUUAC
rnacentral:lncRNA from 1 species